rnacentral:other from 1 species
ACCCUACUGUGUACGUAAAUGGUCUCGAUGUUUUGAACCAACAUCUUUUACAUUGGGAGUCCGGACUCUGCAUAGCGAAGCAAUGCCUUCACUGGACUGCUGACCUCUGUAGGAGGACACCCACCUGCUUAGGCAGGCUCAAAACUCGGUUUAUAAACGGCAUGGUGGGGCUU